GGGUGAUUAGCUCAGUGGUAGAGCGCUUCGUUCACAUCGAAGAUGUCGGGGGUUCAAAUCCCUCAUCACCCACCA
rnacentral:tRNA from 54 species